GCCUGGGUGGCUCAGUCAGUUGAGCGUCUGACUUUGGCUCAGGUCAUGAUCUUGCGGUUCGUGAGUUUGAGCCCCACGUCGGGCU
rfam:Felis catus isolate Cinnamon breed Abyssinian chromosome C2, whole genome shotgun sequence.